GACAGAGGUGCCGAGCGUUAGGCGGAAUCACUGGGCUUAAAGCGUGUGUAGGCGGGUCCGUAAGUACCUUGUGAAAUCCCAUGGCUCAACCAUGGAACUGCUUGGUAUACUGCGGAUCUUGAGCCACCUAGGGGCAAGUGGAACAAACGGUGGAGCGGUGAAAUGCGUAGAUAUCGUUUGGAACGCCAAUGGUGAAAACACUUGCUGGGGGUGUGCUGACGCUGAGACAGGAAAGCCAGGGGAGCAAACGGG
rnacentral:rRNA from 1 species